rnacentral:lncRNA from 1 species
GAUUAAGCUUGGUGCUACCUCUUUGUUUUUCUUUAUUGUUGAAAAGUAAUGGAUAGUUUUUAAAUAUUGAAAAGUGAGUCCGUAGAAUAAAUCAGAGAUUGAUUUAUGAGUUAUUGAUUAUAUAAUUUGAGCACUGAGUAAUUGAAUUAUAUGAAGAGUUAUUGGAAGAUUAUGAUUGUUGUUUAUUGAGAGCUGUGUGUGUUUGAACAAAGGAAGUAUGUGAUUACAGAAAUUAUGUGAAUCUAGAUUGGUUGGAGUGAAGUCUGUUAUUUUUGGUGUUGGAUGGAAAUUAUGUGAUUUGAACAGUCUUUUGAGAGUGCAGGGUUGCACAUUAUUAUUAUCAGUUGAUG